UACGGAGGGGGCUAGCGUUGUUCGGAAUCAUUGGGCGUAAAGGGCGCGUAGGCGGCCGGCCAAGUCGGAUGUGAAAUCCCUCGGCUCAACCGAGGAACUGCACUCGAUACUGGUUGGCUAGAGUCCGGGAGGGGAUGGUGGAAUUCCCAGUGUAGCGGUGGAAUGCGCAGAUAUCUGGAGGAACAUCGGUGGCGAAGGCGGCAUCCUGGACCGGUAUUGACGCUGAGGCGCGAAAGCCAGGGGAGCAAACGGG
rnacentral:rRNA from 1 species